CGCGUCGGGAGGGAGUCAGCCGCAAACCCGCAACCCCCGCGCGUUAUAGAACGGCCGGUCAUGAGCUCCCCCUCGGCCUCCUCCAAGCUCACGGGCAACAGGUGAGGUUCAACGCCUUCAACCCCGCGCCCCGUCGGUCACCCCUCUGAAAAAAUGCCAAAAAACCAAGAGAAAACCCGAGGAUGGGUUUGCCGAACCGCGUCGCUGUUUGAACUGCCGGGACCCUCCGUCGUCUCGCUGCGAAACCUUCGACCCGCUCACCCAUCUCGCCGCCCUUACACUCUUCGCAGGAUAUACAGUUGCUCUUUCUGCCGUAACCACAACGCCUAUCACGACGACAUCAUCUCCAAGGCACGCCCCCGCAACCCAACACUGAUUUUCCCGACACCUCCUCCUCCUCCCGCGACUUUCUUUUCCGUUGUCUCGACCGGCCGCUGACCACGUCCCCUCGACUCCCCACCUCUCAGGCGUUCCAGGGUCGCCACGGCCGCGCGUAUCUAUUCAACGACGUCGCUAACAUCACCCUCGGCGGCAAGGAGGACCGCCUCCUCAUGACCGGGCUUCACACCGUCCGGGACGUCUUCUGCGCGUCCUGCAGCUCGCUGCUGGGAUGGAAGUACG
rnacentral:lncRNA from 1 species